UCCUCAGGAGGCUGAGGCAGGAGAAUCGCUUGAACCCGCGAGACGGAGGUUGCAGUGAGCCAAGAUCACGCCAUUGCACUCCAGCCUGGGUGACAGAGCCAGACUCCAUCUCAAAAAAAAAAAAGAAGAAAGUGAUAAACUGUGCCAAACGCUACUGACAGCACAUGCCAGAUAGAGACUGAGAAAGGACCAUUGGAUUUAGUCACAAGGAGGUCACUGUAAACCUGGAGAAGUGAAGUUUCAGUGGAGUAGAGAUUGGACUCCAGAUCCUACAGCACAGCUAUUAGGGGACAACAAAUAUUGAAGAGAGCAGAAGGCCACUGAGGCCCUGUUUUUGCAACGAUAUAUACAAGUGGUUCUCAACCUUCAGAACUACCCAGAGGGCUUGUCAAACCACAGGUUGCUGGGACCCCUGAUUCAGCACUGAGUAGGAGAGGGGAGAGAAUCUGCAUCUCUAACAGGUUUCCAGGACUCAGGCUGAAAGAGCAGCAUCAUCUGGGAACUGUGGAGCUUACAGCAGAAAGCAGUAAGGCAAGAGGCCAAGCCAAACUAUGCAAUCUCAUUGAAAGCUUCUGCUCAGACAGCAUAAAUCAUGUCCGCUCACAUUCCAUUGGAAGAAGCGAGUCACAAGGCCAAACCUGCCAACAUACUCCCCUUACUGGAUUGCUCCUGGAAGUCACGUGGCAAACGGUGUUGGACGUGUAAUACCCUCAGACAGAGGCAGAAGAUAGUUGCAAACAAUAACAUAAUCGGUCGUACCAAGAAACAAGUGCUGGAACAAUGGGACUUAAGGAUAAAUCUGCCUUUCACAGCAGGGAGCCCCCCAGUGGGGCGAAUGGAAGAGAAUAUAAAGUUCCCAGGCUCUUGAAUUGAACAAAGACGGAGUCUCAGCUGCAGACAGGCCAAAUUCCAGUGGCAAAAACAAUGUCCUGAGAGCCAGAGCUUCCAACAUCUGGAGCCCAAACAGGGACCUAACAAAAGAUCAGAAUACAAUGACCCCGGGGGAUGCCUGACGAGUGUAUCGUAAGAAUAAUCAUUGUCUCUGGGCAUUGGGUUAUGAGUAAUAUCCUCUUCUGUUUUCUACUGAGUGAUUGUGCUACUUUUUAAUUAGAAAAAGAAGCAUUUUAGAAAAGUAUAUGUGUCCUCCCUGGAGCCGAAAACAGCAUGGGGCAGCAGAAGUGACUGCUUUUCCAUGCCAAACCUCACACUGAUGAGAAAGAUUUGCAUGUCCGAUGACGCACCAAAGGUGUGUAAUUUCAAUCCCCUGGGGCAAAUGGUCCUGCCAUCUACUGUAACGACUGAUAAAUGGGAAGGCAAUAAUAAGCAUAAUCUUUUUUUCUCAGGUGUUUUCUUUUUGGCAGGGGUGGAUGGGGGUGAAUCAGUGAACAAAGUAGACUUAACUUCUAAAAUCUAAACGUCCCUGGGGUUUUCCACUUGCAGAUUCUGUCUGAGGUUGAAGACAAAGAAAGGCCACUAUGAGUUCAGUAUCCAGAAGGUCCUGGAUUUCUUUCCGGCUCACAAGAAGGGAAAUUAGGGAACAUGGGCUUAAACAUGUCUUCACUGGCAUUGAAUCUGUGAGAAGUCAGCCCCACGGUUUUGGUAAUACUAAGUUAAAUACUAGUUUAAAAUGAGUUUGAGCCUAUUUGAACCCAAUUUGAUGUGAUAUGCACAGGGACUUAGGCCCCAGGCUUUGUGUUUUGUUGUUGUUGUUGUUGUUUGUUGUUUGUU
rnacentral:lncRNA from 10 species